UACGUAGGGUGCGAGCGUUGUCCGGAAUUAUUGGGCGUAAAGAGCUCGUAGGCGGCUUGUCGCGUCGGUUGUGAAAGCCCGGGGCUUAACUCCGGGUCUGCAGUCGAUACGGGCAGGCUAGAGUGUGGUAGGGGAGAUCGGAAUUCCUGGUGUAGCGGUGAAAUGCGCAGAUAUCAGGAGGAACACCGGUGGCGAAGGCGGAUCUCUGGGCCAUUACUGACGCUGAGGAGCGAAAGCGUGGGGAGCGAACAGG
rnacentral:rRNA from 1 species